UGUCUCCCAGAACAGAAGACUGGACCCACGAACUGACAACAUGUCAACAACAACGGCAGAUCCCAUUCAGGAAAUGGUGGACACACUACGUCAAGCACUUCUCCACACUCAAACAACACCAGUCACAGCAGUGUCAACUGCUACCGUGGUCGCAGCUCCCAUGGCAAACCCAGCGUCCUAUUCUGAUCGAGGCAAGAUCAUGUUUAUCAUCUCUCUACUUACAGGAACGGCAUUACGGUGGGCAGAAUCCAUUUGGCAAUUGUUUCACCACUCCAUCAAGGAAUUCAUGAAUUACUUCCAAAAGCCAGAUCCACCCUCUCCAGAGCCAGAAUCCAUGCAGAUCGACACCCCACUGUUGCACCCCACUAUUGCAUCCCACUGUCGGAACAUCCGCAAUGGCUGACCCAAGGGCUGUGUCUAUACUGUGCUGCAGCUGGACAUGCUAUUGGAGAGUGUCCCGUCUGUCCUCCACAAGCUUUUUCACAGCCCUCCUCGACUCUGGGUCAGCCGGAAAAUUCAUCUCCUCACAAUUAUGCUCUGACCUUAAGACCAAAGGGAAUGGAUCCCUCAAAAACUCAAGUCCAGUCCAUAACUGGCAAACCCCUCAAUCGAUCCUCCAUCAACUCCAGGACAUGUGAGCUCAUUCUGACUGUGGGAAUCCUACACCAGGAAACUAUCAGAUUUCUGGUUUUGGAGAAUUCAAAUGCGGAUGUCAUCCUUGGCCGACCGUGGUUAGUGCAACCUCAUCCGGAGCUCUCUUGGGAUACUGGUGAGUUGAGAAGAUGGAGUGAUCAUUGUUUUCCGUCAUGUUUUGCACAAUUACCCACUCCUUGCCAUCAUCAUUCUUCACCCAUACCAGUAUGUUCCACCUCCAUCGAAAGAAAGACGGCAGAUAUUUCAAUAUAUAUACCUGAAGAUUACACAGAGUUUCAGGAUGUGUUUUAUCCCAAAAGAGCCUCCAAACUACCACCUCAUCGGCCAUGGGACUGCGCGAUUGACCUCCUUCCACCCCUCGACCUCCCCUGCUGCAUCACCCUUUUUCUUCGUUGCCAAGAAAGAUGGCGGUCUCCGACCCUGUAUCAAUUACCGGACACUCAACAAGAUUACAUCUAAAUUCCGUUAUCCCCUUCCUCUCAUCCCAGCAGCUCGAUCUCAGAAGUGCCAACAAUCUCAUCUGAAUUCACAGUGGAGAUGAGUGGAAGACUGCCUUUGUGACCCCACAGGCUACUUUGAAUAUUUGGUUUCCGAGACAUCCUUAAUAAAUACGUCUUGAUCUACAUCGAUGAUAUAAUCAUCUAUUCCAAGGAUCCAUCUUACCAUACCCGGCAUGUGAAGGAAGUUCUCAAACGUCUCCGUCAGCAUAACCUGUAUUUGAAGGCUGAAAAAUGUGAAUUCCACCAAUCAUCUAUUCAGUUUCUGUGUUACAAUGUAUCUCAGGAUAGAGUGAGGAUGAGAGGAAGGUGGAAACCAUAACAUCCUGGCCAACCCCUCUCACUGUGAAAAACCUGCAAAGAUUCUUAGGAUUUGCUAACUUCUAUUUGCUAUUCUAUGACAUUCGCCAUUUCAGUAAUGUGGUUCAACCACUUACAGUACCACCCUUCUAGGAGGAAAACCCAAAACUCUGUCAUGGACCCUGGAGGCAGACCAAUCAUUCCAGAACCUGAAAGCUGCCUUCUGUUCUGCACCCAUCUUCAUUCAUCCCAAUACAAACAAACCCUUCAUCGUGGAAUUAGUUGCUUCAUUUUCAGGUGUCAAAGCAGCAGGGGAAUCAUCCACUGCUUCAUCCAUGUGCCUUCUACUCCCAUAAAUUCAGCCCGGCAGAAGUCAACUACGACAUUGGAAAUCAUGAGUUACUUGCAAUCAAGUUAGCUCUUGAGGAAUGGAGACAUUGGUUUGAAGGUGCAAGACAUCAUGUUAUAAUAAACAUCUCCCUCAUUUUUUUUCUGAUUAAAACGUAGUUCUGUUCCACAGACCCUUCUGCCAUUUGAGUAGAAAAGCCCCAAAAGCUACUCUCCUGUAACUUUUGUAUUAUUACUAAAAUUAUUAAAUUUAUUUAUUACAAAUCCCCCUGCUUUCAUACCCUGAAAUUAAAUAAUUAAAUAAAUUUCUGGUCUUUGAGAAGUGGGUCUGGCCGUGGUGUGUCAGGGGUUAUGCUCGGCCCUUCUGCUCUGCUGCGGACGUAGCCUCGGCCCUUAAGCUAGGCUGUGGACAUCGCUCGGCCCUCUCUGGCUGCGCCGCCGUGUGCCCUGCUCCCCCCCGCCUGCAUGACCGUGUGGCUUGGUUCCCCCCGCCUGCCUCACCAUGUGCCUUGCUCCACUCACUGGCCUCGCCGUGUCCCUUGCUCCCCUCACUGGCCUUGCCGUGUUCCUUGCUCCCCCCAGCUGCCUUCGCCAUGUUCCUUGCUCCCCCCAUGUGUCUCACCCCCCCCUCCUGGACCUCAUCGAGAUUAAGACGAAAUUGGCGCUUCUGGAGCCACGCUUCAAAUGUGUGUGUGCUACUGUCAGGAAUCAGCCCAGACUUUUUGCCAUGUGCUAUUGUUAUUGUUGUUGUUAUGUGUCUGCUCUGCCUUCGUUCACUCCUCCCUGUCUCCACACCUUUUCCUAAUUGUCAAUCAUUGUUAUGUGUAUUUAAGUGAGUCGCGUUGCCGAUGGCAGCACAGAAUCAUUAGUUAAUGUUAAGUGUCGUCUCUGUUACCAUUUUAUUUCCUCGUCCUUUGUAUUGUUUAGUUAUUGAUUGUUUUUUACUGUUUUGUCUUUAUCAUUUAUUAAACCCCAUUGAU